GCUGGGCGUGGUGGCUCAUGCCUGUAAUCCCAGCACUUUGGGAGGCUGAGGCAGGAGGAUCACCUGAGGUCAGGAGUUCAAGACCAACCUGGCCAACAUGGUGAAACCCUGUCUCUA
ensembl:misc_RNA Metazoa_SRP Metazoan signal recognition particle RNA